CCCCGCUAGCUCAUGCUCUGAAACUGUAUUUACCAAAAAAAGAUGCAUCGAUAGAUUUUUGAAGGAGAUGAAAAUUAUUGGAUGUUUCCAUUAACAGUUUUGUGUGUCGUUGAUGUGAUUGAAGAUGGAAGUAACCGUGUGAAUAAUUUUCUAAAGACAAACCCUAAUUUGAUUCUGUGAUUUUGAAGAUGGGAGAUGGAAAGAGGAAUUUGAUGAAGGGGUGUAGAUUCAGGUGGAAUUAGGGUGUUUAAAUGAAGAAUUAAGAACUGAGUACGGGUUUUGUGUAAUUGCAGUGGUGGUACUGAUAUUGAUUGAAUGGUGAUGAACUUAAUCGAGCAGUUGCGGGUUGAAUCUGUUGAUUACAGAGAAGAAGGAAUUGGAGGUGGUUGUCUGUGGUGGAUUAGAAGCUGAGAAGAUGGUGUUACCGUGGUUGAGGUGGGGUGCAUAACAGCUGAAUCUAGUCUACUGGGGGUUCUUAAUGGAAUGAAUUGUUAAUGAAUCUGGUUAUGAACAGUGGCGUUGCUUGCUGCUGCUGGUGGUGUUUCUUGCAGGUGGUGGUGGCGCUGCUUCUUGUUGUUGCUGCUGAUGGUGAAAUAAAUCAGGAUCCUUACAUGGCACCGGAACAUCAACCCGCAUUCAGGAUCGUUAUAUCAAAUUCCCUAAGAGGAUUCUCCACUUCCUUUCUUGGGUGUAGCCACCACCACCACUAGUUCAUCUCCAUCACCUCAACAACUAUGGAGGGGUAUUUCAGACAAAAAUCACACUGUUUUUCUCAAAACAGUUAAAUCGGAUGGAAAACUACCACUUUGUAAACACUAAUUAAAGCUAUGAUCAUUUUGUAAAAUU